GGGCCCGCCCGUCAGGCCCGGGGGGGGGGGGGGGGGGGUGGCGGCCACCGCCCCCCGGGCCCCCCCCGGGACCCCCCGGGAGGCUGGCCCGGCCCGGCCCGGCCCGGCCCGUGGGGCAGCCGCGGAGUGGCACAGAGGAAGCCCCGGAGGUCAGGGAGUCUGUGAUCAGCAGGAAGCUUUUCUGUUGCCUGUUUGCUUACCUUGCAGCUCUUACAGGGUCAUUCCACCAGAAGCCACAGUGAGCAGAACAAAAUCCAAAGGACUCUAUAUUUAGAACACAGCAGUUGCAUUUCUUUUUCUGCGCAGGACAGAAGUUUUUAAUCCUGAGAACCUGGCAUUUUGCAAUGAUUUCCUGUCACAAAAUAUGUCAUCACCAACAAUUGCUUCAGAGAACAGCUGAUGUUUUGCUGAUCUCGAUGUGCGUGGGUGCACCUAGGCCUUGCAAGACUCCAGCACUGAGCGUACAGUCCAUUGUUUUGCUAAUGGUCAACAAAGCUUAUCUCCUGAUCUCACCCAGCCGCUAUCAGCUCACAUGCUGUUCUGCAAGAUUUGGAUGAGCAUUCCUCUCAGACCCAUCGAAUGGCUGCAGCAAAGCUGGACUCAACAGGCAGCAACGAGCGGGCACGUAAGGAUGCAGAGAGGAAAUGGGUGAGCUUAAACAAGGGUGGUGUGACUGGAGCGGCACUCACUCCAGAAGACCCCUUGGAAAAGAGCCAGCGAGCCGAAAAAGCCUGGUAGGAUUAACAACACCUUUAUAUAAAGGAGUCAUUUCAGGACAUCUGCCUGACAGGAAGUGCUACAUUUAUUUAUUUUUAAUUGGACUGGAUUUAAGCCAUAUCAAGCUUAUUCUGGGUUCAAAGGGACGUUCUUUUUGCCUUAUAGCAUGGGAGCAAGGGGACAGUGCAAUUAACAGGAAGGGUGGCACUUUGAAAAGCAGUAUAAUAAGGUGUUUUAAAAUUAAGCAAUUAUUGCGCAUGUCAGGUACUUCACUGGAAGAUGAGAGACAUCUUCAGGAGAUUAUUCUAGUCCUCAAGUGGGGUUCCUCUUAAACUUCAGCUAGAAGAGCCCCUCUUUUCUCCAUACCUGUGAAGGACUCUAGAAAUACCUGCCUAGUAAGGGGGCCCUGGGAUAAGAAGCCUCCCCCUAGGUGAUAGGAGGAUAGUUAUAUUUCUGACUGGAAUCUGGAAGUCACUGGUGCAGGAGAUCACUGAUGAGCAAAUACUUGGAUAACACUGACCACUGAAAUAGAUAGUAUUAAACCCCUCAUUUUUUCAAAUGAAGCAUGCUGCUUGAAUUAAAAUCUCUUUCUCUAUAGAAAUGGAUAUACAGCCACCUGCCAAGUAUGAAAGGGUUUAUAAAACACUCAGACAUCUUGCCCUGACCACUAUCAGGAGCAAGACACUGGACUAGAAACCAGGGGCUGAGCUGCCUGAUAUUCAAGGAUCAUAUCCUCCAAGCUCAAGAGUGGUUCAUCCUGAUGAGAAGAAAAUCAAGCAAAGAUGGCAGGAGUCAUGCGUGGAUAGACAAGGAACUCCUGACUAAACUCUGACAUAAAAAGGAAAUGUACAAAAUAUGGAAGCAGGGGUAGGUGACCCAGGAAGAAGCCUCACUGGUGAUAGUGUCCUUCAGCAAUCCCAGGCCUCUGAGUGAGGGGCCCAAAAGUGCUGAGGGAGCUGGCUAAUGUAAUUGCAAGGCCACUUUUUGAAAGAUCACAGUGAUCAGGAGAGGUUCCUGAGGCCUGGAAGAAAGUAAAUGUCACUCCUGUAUUCAAGAAUGGCAAGAAGGAGCAUCUGGGAAACCAUAUUCCAUCAACCCCACCUCAGUCCCCAAAAAGGCAAAGAAAUAAUGGAAAGCAUUUCCAGACACAUGAAGAACAAGGAGGUGGCCAAGUGCAUUCUGCAUGGAUUUACAAAGAGGAAACCAGGCUUGAACAACCUUCCACAAUAAGAUAACUGGCCUGGUGAAUGAAAGGAGAGCAGUAGAUGUUGUUUGCCUUGAAUUUAAUAAGGCUUUUGACACUUCUCCCAUAACAUGCCCAUAGAUAAGCUGAAGAAGUAUGUGUUAGAUAAGUGGACAGUGAAGUGGAUCAAAAAAAUGUCUGAAUGGCUGGACCCAGAGCGCCGUGGUCUGUGGCACAAAGUCCAGCUGCUAGCAGUAGGUCCUGUUACUAGGUCUUACACUGUUUAACAUCUUCAUUAAUGAUCUGGAUGAUGGGGCAGAGUACACCUUUGGCAAAUGUACAGAUUAUACAAAGCUGGGAGGAGCUGAUACACCAGAUGGUGUGUUGCCAUCCAGAGCAACUUGGACAAGCUGGGGAAUUGGCCAGAGAGAAAUCUCAUUAAGUUCAACAAAGGGAAAUGCAAAGACCUGUACCAGAGGAGGAACAACCCUAUGCACCAUUACAUGCUGGGGCCUCGGAGAAGGAGCUGAGGGGUUCUGGUUGACAGCAAGCUGGCCAUGAACCAUGUGAGUGAAGACACAGAGAGCUGUGACUGUUCAGCCUAGAGAAGAAAGGAUUCAGAAGGACUCUAAUCAAUGUGUAUAAAUACCUGGCAGGAGGGUAUGAUACAGGAGGAGAUGGGUGCCCACUGACAGGACAAGAAGCAGUAGACACUAUUUAAACACAUGAAACUCCACCUGAACACAAGAAAACACUUUUUACUGUGUUUGUGGUCAAAAACCAGAGUGAGUUGGCCAGAGAGGUUAUGGACUCUCCAUCUCCAGAAAUUUACAAAACUUGACUGGACACAGUCCUGGGUAACCAGCUGUAGCUGACUCUGCUUGAGCACGGCAGGUUGGAUUAGAUGAUCUCCAGUGGUCCUUUCCAGCCCCUACAAUCCUGUGACAGUUCUAUGAUCCCUGACAGCAGCUCCUGGUGUCCUGUAUGCUGUCAGUUCUUACACAUUUAGCUGAUUUUUCCCUGAGGUAAUUACAGACUUUACUGGUGUAAUUAAUUGCACUAAAUGCAUAUACCUCUGAGGAUGAGGUGGUUGUGGAGAAACCUGAACUAAAAUACUCAGAGGAACUGUCCACAAACAAAAUACAGGAACUGAGAAUCAUCAUUUGUGACUGUGAGGUUCCAUACAUAUGCUUUCAGCAGAAUAAGCAAGGUGUGGGGAGAUGGAGGCUGACAGAGCAGACAGGGCAGGGUCAGGUCAGAAGUGGGAGAUGAGUGUCUUAUGACAGCCAGUGCUGAGCACAGUGCAUAAGAAUUUCAGUUUUCUUUCCCAGCCUAUGGCAACCAAUACAACAUGGGCUGGGCUCUUUGUGUGGUGGUGGUAAAACUAAAGCCUUAACACUGUAUCAGAACAGGACACCAAGCAUGGACAAUUAAAUGAGAGGCAGUAUUUUCAAGCUGAACCUCCAGAAAAUAGAGCAAACAUAAUUAAUGACUGCCUGAGAGAAAUCUGAUUUAAAAGACCACCCAGGAACUCUGAAGCAGAGGCAGCUCUCCAGGGCAGCCGUCUGCAAGCUGAACCAUGAGCCUGUUUUGUCUUCAGCUGUGUUCCCAGUUUCCUCCACAGCAUGGUCCUGGUGUAUUUUAUGCACUGUGGCAGGAUGCCAUUAAGAAAAAAGUCUGCAAUCAUGUCAUUAACAUCUGUCUCACAAGAGAAGAUUAGAGAAACAUUUGUCAAGGAUGGUCUAGGAAUAAUUGGUCCUACCUUGGGGAAAAGAGAUGAACUGGAGUCCCCAGGUGUGCUCCUUGAGGUCCCUUCCAGGCCUGUUUUUCACAAAAUCAUACAUGCCAGAAUUAAGCCAAAUUAAGUUUCCACAAGUUAUUUUAAUUCCAGUCUCCUCUAACUUCUGAAUGCUUGAUUUCAGAGCCUUUUUGGCACAGAUUACAGUGCGCUGCUUUUUAGGGUCCUGGUUGGUUUGUUUUAAAGCCAACUCCACCUAGCAAGUGUGCCAUGGUAUUCACAUCCACGAGGCUGAUUAACAACCCUGUAAGAGAUCUCCAACAGGGACCUCUUCCAGGGACUGGCAGAGACAACCCAGUAGACUGUGCCCUCUCCAACUAAUGAAGGGUGGCAGUAGAAAAAGAUUGCAGUGCUGCUAGCCCGCAUCAGAGGCUUGCAUUUCAAAUCCUCAUGCUGGCAAUAGAUGAGAUGAGAGCCUCAGGACACCUGGGUUCCCUCCCAGACUCUGGAGAGCAGUAUGUCCUACCAGGAGCCUUUUGCUCAUUUCCAUCUAUGCUCUCUCCAUUCCUAUUUUUCCCCUCUGCUCCCUCCCCUACUGCCUUUCCUUAUAUUUUACCCAACAGUUGCUCCCAGACCCUGAAUCCUUGGUGGUUUAAUCCUUCUCUGUGUCCUCAAUCCUACUUUUUGUUGAUUCAGAAAGUGAAGCUCUCCAUUUUCCAUCCUCUGCCCCAGCCACACCAUCUUUCCCACUUCUACCGCCUCCUCCCCCAGCUAUUCCAGCCCAGGACACAACAGGUUUUUCAACCAGUUCUACCACUUUCCUCCCACAAUGGGCUUUCACAAGCACUUCUUUUGCCAUGCUGCUUCAUUCACAGCAUGGUGGUCAUCACCUCUAUGAGAGAAACCAGACUUUGCUCUCAGCUCAGUGCACCAUCCCCCAAUGGUAACUGCAGGUUAUGACUCGCAGGUGGGGUGGGCUUGGCCACCACCUGUGGACAGCCCAGGUGCAGGGUUCCCUAGCAAGGAACAGCUCAGCAAGGGUGGAGUUGCCAGCAUUGAUUUGGGAAUGGCUUUUUGUCCACUGUAUACUAAGAAACCCCCACAGAUCUGUGUGACCUGUGAUUUUUCAAAGUCAUAAAGUGUGGUCCAGUUCGGAUAGGUUUUGUCAAGACAGAUAAAAGCUAGAGAUCCAAUUUGUAUGGUGCGAGGGAGAUGAAGUGUCUCAGACAAAAUAAUAGGCAUGUUUGAAAUGAGGAAAAAUGCAUUUUUGUCAGCCUUGUUCUUGGAAAUUACCUGAAUCACUUUCACUUUCCAGAACACUCAGCAUGAUUUUUUUCAUAGAAAUAUGGAUUGGUUAGAUAAUGCAAUCAUAGUUAAAUAAUGCAAUUGAAGUAUUUCACUUUCUUUCACUUUUGUUUUUCUCCUUUCCAUUCUCAACAAUUAUCAAAAUCUGCUAAUUGCUGCAUAUUACUCUUUAUUGGAGAUCUUUUUGCUGCAAGACAAACUCUUGAAUUACCCCUGAAUUUAUUUCAUUGGUUACUGCAGAGUCAUUAAAAUAAUGGUAUUAAACUGUGAA